GAUGAACGCUAGCUACAGGCUUAACACAUGCAAGUCGAGGGGCAGCACGGUGUAGCAAUACACGGGUGGCGACCGGCGCACGGGUGCGUAACGCGUAUCCAACUUUCCCGUUACUCUCGGAUAGCCUUCCGAAAGGGAGAUUAAUACGAGAUGGUGUUCAGUUCCCGCAUGUUUGCCGAACUAAAGAUUCAUCGGUAACGGAUAGGGAUGCGUGACAUUAGAUAGUUGGCGGGGUAACGGCCCACCAAGUCAACGAUGUCUAGGGGUUCUGAGAGGAUGAACGGCCACAUUGGGACUGAGAUACGGCCCAG
rnacentral:rRNA from 1 species